CCUGAACUGACUGAUUCAAACAAAGCUCACUUGAACUUACUAGCAACAGAACAUGAAAGUAUGCGAUAAUUAUUUCAAAUUAGAGAUAAAAAUGUUACUACUUCAAUUAACAAUGUAGUAAUCAUGGAUCAUAUUAUGAUCUGAAAUAUGUCUGUCUUGUGACAACAUUUUCUUUGGAUAAUACAAAAAGGUAAUUCUCAAAAUAAGGAAAUUAGAAGUAAAAGAUAAAAUGCUACUAUAAGAGAAUCAUUCUUUAAUAACCAAUAAAAUCAACAAGCUAGUCAAAAUACUCCCAUUGUCAGACAUUCUUUUUCAAAUAUAACUUAUUACAUCUAAGGAUCUACAAAGGAUAUGCAUGUGGGAGGCCAACCUUCUUACGAGCCUCAAUACGCUUCAAUCUCUCCUUUUCUUUCAGUUGUCUUUGAGCUUCUUUUCUCCUUUUCUUCUUUCGCUUGUGGAAGCCAGUAACAAAGUGCCUUAGCUCCUUGUCGUCGAAACCGACGGUGACGCCUUUGUUCCUGAGAGACCU